rfam:Aedes albopictus isolate Foshan contig8341, whole genome shotgun sequence.
CGUAAAGCAACUCCUAUCCCUACCUCCUCGCGAUACCGGCCGGAAAUUAAGAGCAACCUUAGGGAAGAUCGGGUAACCAACCCCUGUGGAAACUUUGGUCGUGGGCUAACAGGGAAGG